rnacentral:rRNA from 1 species
GACGAACGCUGGCGGCGUGCUUAACACAUGCAAGUCGAACGGAAAGGCCCUGCUUUUGUGGGGUGCUCGAGUGGCGAACGGGUGAGUAACACGUGAGUAACCUGCCCUUGACUUUGGGAUAACUUCAGGAAACUGGGGCUAAUACCGGAUAGGAGCUCCUGCUGCAUGGUGGGGGUUGGAAAGUUUCGGCUGUUGUGGAUGGACUCGCGGCUUAUCAGCUUGUUGGUGGGGUAGGGGCUUACCAAGGCUUUGACGGGUAGCCGGCCUGAGAGGGUGACCGGCCACAUUGGGACUGAGAUACGGACCAGACGCCUACGGGAGGCAGCAGUGGGGAAUAUUGCACAAUGGGCGGAAGCCUGAGGCAGCAACGCCGCGUGCGGGAUGACGGCCUUCGGGUUGUAAACCGCUUUCGCCUGUGACGAAGCGUGAGUGACGGUAAUGGGUAAAGAAGCACCGGCUAACUACGUG